rnacentral:rRNA from 1 species
GACGAACGCUGGCGGCGUGCUUAACACAUGCAAGUCGAACGGAAAGGCCCCUUCGGGGGUCCUCGCGUGGCGAACAGGUGAGUAACACGUGAGUAACCUGCCCUUGACUUCGGGAUAACUUCAGGAAACUGGGGCUAAUACCGGAUAGGAAUCCUUGCUGCAUGGUGGGGGUUGGAAAGCUUCGGCGGUUUUGGAUGGACUCGCGGCUUAUCAGCUUGUUGGUGGGGUAGUGGCUUACCAAGGCUUUGACGGGUAGCCGGCCUGGGAGGGAGACCGGCCAAAAUGGGAAUGGGAAACGGCCCAGACUCCUACGGGGGGGAGCAGUGGGGAAUAUUGAACAAAGGGCGGAAGCCUGAUGCAGCAACGCCGCGGGCGGGAUGAAGGCCUUCGGGUUGGAAACCGCUUUCAGCAGGGGCGAAGCUUGUGGUGACGGUACCUGCAGAAGAAGCACCGGCUAACUACGUG